rnacentral:rRNA from 1 species
GACGAACGCUGGCGGCGUGCUUAACACAUGCAAGUCGAACGGAAAGGCCCUGCUUUUGUGGGGUGCUCGAGUGGCGAAGGGGUGAGUAACACGUGAGUAACCGGCCCUUGACUUUGGGAUAACUUCAGGAAACUGGGGCUAAUACCGGAUAGGAGCUCCUGCUGCAUGGUGGGGGUGGGAAAGUUUCGGCGGUUGGGGAUGGACUCGCGGCUUAUCAGCUUGUUGGUGGGGUAGUGGCUUACCAAGGCUUUGACGGGUAGCCGGCCUGGGAGGGUGACCGGCCACCAUAGGACUGCGAUAGGCACCAGAGUGGAAUGGGAGGCAACGGUGGGGAAUAUUGUACAGUGAGCGGGCGCGUGAUGCGAAGACGCCCCGUGCGGGAAGCCGGCCUGUUGGUUGUGAACCGCAUUCGUAUGAGACGACGCGUGAGUGACGGUAAUGGGUGAAGAAGCACCGGCUAACUACGUG